AAUAGGAAAAAAAAGGAAAAUGCACAUUUAAUUAUAUUCUUCCUUAACUUCCUUAGCACCCAUAGCAUCCACAGCAUUUUACACGUGGUAUAUCCCUCCUAGUUUCGAUCAUUCAUGGUACAAUGUUGGAUGUAUUGUCAUCCAACACAAAUGAAUACUAAAUGUAUGGAACUAUGAAUGCUUUGAAUUAACUUGAAGGUGGAUAUCGAUGGCCCUCUUUAUGCUAAUUUAUGGACUCUGGAUAAUAAAUUUAUAUUGGAUAAUUAUCAUUA